AAAGAUUACAAAAAUCAUUAUUGUGUUAAAUGAUGAGUGAAAAUGAGAUGCAAUUCUAAAGAACAUUCUCGUUUACUGAUAUUUGUGUGUGUUUUUGACGUUGUUAAGAUUAUGCAACGUGCCAAAAUAUAGGGGGGCUCAGCACGCUGGUCAUAUUCAGCAAAUUUUCUCCCAGGACCGCAGGCUCAUAUUGUCAGUGGACUUGCGGUGUAAAAUUGAAACUUUUGCAUUUUUCAAAGAACUGGCCACUUUCUGUAAGAUGUCCGCUGUCAAUACGAACCCGCACGAGUGGGAGAAAUUUUGCUAAAUUUGACCAACGUGCAGCCCCCAAGUCAACAUGAAAUUUCAACAAGGGGGCUCAGCCCCCCUGAUCCCUCCCUCCAGUACACCACUUGGCCUAUCUUCUAAGCAAGGAAUUUUUUUUUGCACUAUGCCUGGAAAGAUUUUUUUUUUCUUAAUUUUUUUCUGGGAAUAAUUUUUUUUUUUGGUUUUGCCCCACCCACCCCCAUCACUUUUCUA
rnacentral:lncRNA from 1 species